AUUUCCAUUGGUUUACCUCCAUCAAUCAUAUCAUACGAUAUCGUCGUCGGUGCAGUGACUAAGAGCUGCAACUAAUCCGUUGUCGUAGUGGAGAAAGUGGCAGUCGUCACCUCGAGGAUGUUCCUCAACAAAUUCUUUGUCCUGCUCUCCGUUGCUCCUCACCACCGUCUUCAUGUUCGGCGCCAUGAGAAAGUUAUUCGGUCGCACUUUGAGCGAACGAAUAAUGGGCGUGAUUUUCACGAGGGCCACUCCGCUUCGUUUUGGGACUGGCGUUUCGUUGAAGAGGAUCUUCGGGAACGAAACUUCGAUGGCGGCGGAUGUAGACGACCUCGUACUCAUCGACUUGUGACGAAUUGUCCACGCCAAAUGUCCGUCCCAACUCGUCGACAUUCAUCAACGUGUGCAAACUGCGCAACAACUAAUACAGAAAACUAAGUUUUACAAACAAUUUACAAUGGAUGGAUUAUAAAGGUAUACCUUUGACGGCUUUUGGAGCACUCCAGCUGAUGCCAAGCCGAUGGCGCACAAGAACAGAAUCCACUUCAUAUUAAAGUUGAGCUUUGAACAGCUACUGAUUCCCAACAGGUGUGGCGCGUUGAACUCUACUUGUUGCUACCUGCCAACAACAUCUGUCGCCUAUAUAAUACAAUAAUAACACGGAACUUCACGCAAGGACACCGCUAUUUAAUAUUUAUCAUUUCAAUUGACGAAUGGAAUAUCCUGGUAAACGGUCCUGGUCUGGCGGAAGUGGGUGUUGUCACGACGGGUGGCUAUGCAGCGGUAGACUCCUUCAUCGCGGGCCGCGUAUUCUCCAAUGACCAGCCGAGAACCCACUGCCGAUUGUUGGCGGAUGGAAAACCUUGGGUCCUGCCGAUCCAGCGCCCAACUGUCCACUCCAUUCCGCUCCAAUUUUUCCCACACGAUAUUCUGACGAUGUCGUAGGUGGGAGGAAACUGGCAGGUGAGUUCGGCGUCCUGGCCGUUGACUCGAACUUGUCCCUGACCCACCAACUGCGGGUAGGCCUCGUUGGUGUAGUAAUCAUCGCGGUAGCCGACACUUUCGUAGUUGAGGCCGUGCAGUGACGUGUAGCCGCUGCCCUUGAUCCGGUUGCCCAUGUAGCGCGUGGUUCCGGGCAGGUAACCGAAAUCAAGUGGGCGAUAAUCCGACCCGCUGUCAAAAGUGUUGGCCAGGAAAGGAUCUGAAUCGUCCAUCGGAGCUCCCGGAAUGAUCGUCUCGGCCAUCGGCCCCAGCAGCGAUCCCGGCCGACUUUUAGGAAUCAGGGCCGUGACGACAGUGGCCACUAAUAGCGUUGAGCAGUAGAAGAUGAUGAACCGGAUUUGCUUCAUCUUGACGACGACUGGAGAGGUGUACUAAAGCGGACGGACUUGACGUCCGGGCCUUUUAAAUAGACUCCGGCGACGGGGGUCUCAUAAAAAUGGCAGGCCGGAUGACAUUUAGGAUGAUAUCGUGUCCUUGGAUCUUUGAUGCUUGAUGGCGGAGAUGAGUGCACAGCGGAAACCGACUUCGUGAUGAUGCCGUGCUUUCACGUUCCUGAGUGGCGCCGUGAAGAAAAUAUUAUUAUUAUACGCGGGACAGGCGAUUUGAGACUCUCGCGACUUUCACUCGCUUGGUGUAUGUACAUUCGUCAUCAACUGUGUGUCCUGUUGCGAUUUUCUUAAUGACCGAGCCGUGUCGUUUCUUUUUUUUUAUUUCAUAUUUUUCCACGGGUGAACGAGAGGAAUUGACGUCAAUCUAAAAUCCAUUAAAAUCCCGUCCCCGGGUUGGGUUGUUCGCCUUCUGGCAGUUUUUCGGGAGUGAAAUUUGAUGGCUGUUUGACGUUCGCUGUCGUCAUCGGCGAACUCAGUUUCUUAAUUACUGUUAUUGUCACAAUUUGAAUUUUCUUCUUUGUUCAUGUUCUCCUUUUUUUAUUUUUCAAAGUUCAAUUGUUUUAAAUUUUAUUUCGCCCUUUUUUGUGGUUGGUUGCAACUCACUGAGAAUUGAGGAAGUCGCUUCAAAUGUUAUUCCGAUUAAAUAAGCCACCCCGAUACCCCUAUGCACCUCGCGUUAUCGUUACAGGAUGAGAUAGUGCUACCCCCCUUGACAGAAGUAAUUAAUCGGGUUCUUAUACAUGACGGGAUCAUUCACCUCUCCUCUUCGUGGCUCUAUCUCACCCCAUUCUUCUGGCCUUUUUUUAUUUUUUAUUUUUUGAAUCCAUUUAUUUGCAGGUGGGUUAUUUAUACAGCAGUUCGUGACUUGGCGAUGCGGUAGUUUAGUUGCAGCAACUAUUGCGUAAAAGUUCCAAGUUUCUUCUUUUUUCUAAAACAAUUGUUUUUUUGUUAGUAGGAUUGUAGAUGUUUUUAAAAUUUAAAUUCUUGUACUACCUAAUUUGAAUCUCGUUUAAAUGUGUCUUGGUCAUGUUCAGCGAAAAACAAAUUUGUAAUGAUACGUUCGUGCAGGUCCGUCCGGG